rnacentral:rRNA from 1 species
GGUAGAGAGAAGCUUGCUUCUCUUGAGAGCGGCGGACGGGUGAGUAAUGCCUAGGAAUCUGCCUGGUAGUGGGGGAUAACGUUCGGAAACGGACGCUAAUACCGCAUACGUCCUACGGGAGAAAGCAGGGGACCUUCGGGCCUUGCGCUAUCAGAUGAGCCUAGGUCGGAUUAGCUAGUUGGUGAGGUAAUGGCUCACCAAGGCGACGAUCCGUAACUGGUCUGAGAGGAUGAUCAGUCACACUGGAACUGAGACACGGUCCAGACUCCUACGGGAGGCAGCAGUGGGGAAUAUUGGACAAUGGGCGAAAGCCUGAUCCAGCCAUGCCGCGUGUGUGAAGAAGGUCUUCGGAUUGUAAAGCACUUUAAGUUGGGAGGAAGGGUUGUAGAUUAAUACUCUGCAAUUUUGACGUUACCGACAGAAUAAGCACCGGCUAACUCUGUGCCAGCAGCCGCGGUAAUACAGAGGGUGCAAGCGUUAAUCGGAAUUACUGGGCGUAAAGCGCGCGUAGGUGGUUUGUUAAGUUGGAUGUGAAAUCCCCGGGCUCAACCUGGGAACUGCAUUCAAAACUGACUGACUAGAGUAUGGUAGAGGGUGGUGGAAUUUCCUGUGUAGCGGUGAAAUGCGUAGAUAUAGGAAGGAACACCAGUGGCGAAGGCGACCACCUGGACUAAUACUGACACUGAGGUGCG